UUCUUAAUGGGAAGGGAGAAUGUGUCCUCUGCUUUCCAACACCCCGAGACCUCGUCACCUCGGGGCUCCAGCACGCCCUGGCGGGCCACGGUCACCCGGGCCUCGAGCUCUUGCCGGGGAUACUGUAGCGCAGGACGAACCUCGCAUCCCUAGAUGGCCUCGCCACCGUGGGCGGCCUCGCCCGGGGGGCCAUACGGAAGCUCUCUGCCCAAGUUUGUUGUGCCCUGGAAGAAAAGCCUUUCUCUUACAAAACACAAAGGCGAAACGCCCAGGCCGAGCCCUGAAAAGCUUCGGGUUGGGGGUGGGGGGGCGGCCGGAGGCUCCGGCGCGCGGUGGCUGGGACGGGCUCCGCCGGGCGGAGGAGGUCGCUCGGCCCCGAGUGACGAGCGCGGCGGCGGUGGCCGCAGGACUGCAGCAACCGGCGUGCUCGCUGAAAAGUUUUGCUCUCAAGUCGGAAGAAGAGAAAUUGUUACUCAGUUUAAGGCAGGUAGAAGAUGUAAAAAAAAAAAAAAAAAAAAAAAAAAAAAAAAAAAAAAAAAAAAAAAGAAAAAAGAAAAGAAAAGAAAAGAAAAAAAGAAAAAGAAAAAACACCACACACACAAAAAGCAAGCUCGUGAUUUUACAAGAUCGUCCUCCCACCUCGCUCCUUAUAAUCGCUGGAAGAGGGGAUCCCGCCCCCCCACCCCCAAUCCCAGGAGACCGGCACGGAACGCGUUACUCUAAGGCCGGCCAGUCCAACCCAGUGGAGCUGGGAGUUUACCGGUUACAGAUAGCACGGUUCACCUCAGUGGCAGCACCUGCCUUCAUCCUGCAGGCGGAGGUUUUCCCCAUCCCACCCCCACCGCACCCCCCGGCUCUCCUUCUCCAUCCUUCACACCCGUCCUCGUCAGGAAAAAGUAAGCCGAGCCUCUGGGGACCCCAAGGCUCCGGAGCCUGCGGGGUACCCCACCGGGUCGGCAAUGUGUUGUGCGGCUGGGAUCGUUUCUCAACAGAUCGCCCCUUUCCUAUCCCGCCCGCCGCCUGAGAGUCCCCACUGAGUAACACUCAGACCGGGCCCGCGGAAAUCACAGCGGGGUGCACCGGGAAGCCGGGCAGGAGAGCUUACUCGCGGUCGACCCAAACAAAGUGGAAAUGGGGCUUAUAAAAAGAUGGAGAAGUCCUGCUCCCUUCCCCUGGCUAUCCCCCUCGCCCUCCCUACUUGUCCAAUUCCAGCGUCUGGUCCCUCCCCCUUGCACCCCCCAAAUAAAACACAUUAAGGAAAACUCAAGACGGAAAGUUUGAGUGAGGCAGCGCACUGAGCGCGCCGGGCACCGACAGCCAAGGAGGCUCGGUCGCCAAGAUCUAAGACGCGGCAGUGCAGGUCCCAGUCCCUGUCCCUGUCGCAGGGGAGCCGCCCGAAUCCCUGGGAGACCAACCCCGAAAGUUAGCCAGGUUCCUCAGCAACCCGGCCACCCUCGCGCCCACCCCUCUUGUGUACGCACACGCAUCCACACCCCUUUCUGGGCUCCGUACUUGCCGUGGAAAUUCCUGGGGAGAACGAUCGCACUUUUCAGGACACCAAGACAAUUAAGAUCGUCAAAUUAAAAGGGGGCAGCCAUCAAAGGAAAUGAGACAGACUUGGAUGGACUGGUAUGGAAGGAGGUCAUGAUAGACUGUCAAUCGAGAAGACAUCUGCAACCACCGCUGGACUGUGUUCUUCCCUGAGAUCAGAACCCAGCCUCUUUAUGCUUCUAAGAUGGACUAGAUAUCUCUCCAGGAAUCCUCUAGCUCCUUGGCACCAGACUGGCACUGCUAAGGUUCCCAGCCAUGUGACUUGAACUGCUACCCAAGUCUCUAGCACUCCAGCUCUUCAAAGAUAGCUGUUGUUAGACGACUCGGGACCAUCUUGUGGAAGGGCUGAUCUUAUUCUCUAAGGAGUUCCUGAUGGAGGACAGGCAGCUCCCUCAUUCUAGACGCCUUCCCUGUCCUGAACCCCCACCAGACCGGUGCCUUUCUGUGCAUCUGGAGGUUACAGAGGGCAGCGGCUACAUCUUAUUCGUCUUAGUAUCUCCAAUGCCUAGGACAUGCCUGCUCAAUAAAUGUUUGCUGAAUGAAUGAACACAUAAAUUGAUCUAUUAGUAUACUGUACUCGAGCUCUGACCAAGACACAGAGGACCCUAGCGAUCCCCAGUGUACAGGUUUCUGGAUACAGGAAACAGAACAAAUAAAGCAAGCCUGGAUCCGGAGACGCACCUACUCCUCAGGUACCAGCGGGUAAAUUUCUCUCUCUGACCCCUCCAUCCUCAUUCUGAAGAAUAACUCUUGUUGAGUGAAAAUCAAUAAAAGUCAUUUUAAGGGAAGUAGGUUUAGAAAAAGGCUCUGAAGGAGGAGAAAGGCAACAGGGAACUUCAAGUUCAACCAAUUUGGGCGCUCUUUUUCUUUUUAUGACAAUUUGUAAGCUUUGAAAAAAAAUAAGGCUCUUCAACAAGAUAAAAAGUCUACUAUUCACAUUGUUUUUUCAAAAUGAAUCCCCUCCUUACACAAACCCAUAGCUUCUCUGGCUACUGUCAGCCCCUUGUAUUUUUAGAUAUCCAAAAAGAAAAUAAAUAAAUAAAUAAAUUCACAGCACAAA